rnacentral:rRNA from 1 species
CGCGUAGGCGGGAUGGCAAGUCGGUCGUGAAAUCCUUCGGCUCAACCGAAGAACGUCGGCCGAUACUGCCGUUCUUGAGGGAUGCAGAGGAGACUGGAAUUCCCGGUGUAGCGGUGAAAUGUGUAGAGAUCGGGAGGAACACCGGUGGCGAAGGCGGGUCUCUGGGCAUCUCCUGACGCUGAGGCGCGAAAGCGUGGGGAGCAAAACGGGAUUAGGAUACCCCGGUAGUCCACGCCAUAAACGAUGACGACUAGGUGUGGGGUGGUUCAGUCCACUCCGUGCCGCAGCUAACGCAUUAAGUCGUCCGCCUGGGGAGUACGGCCGCAAGGUUGAAA